rnacentral:rRNA from 1 species
GCGCACGGGUGCGUAACACGUAUGCAACCUACCCUUUACUAAGGAAUAGCCUCUCGAAAGAGAGAUUAAUACCUUAUAAUAUGUUUUGAAGGCAUCUUCAGAAUCUUAAAGCUCCGGCGGUAAAGGAUGGGCAUGCGGUUGAUUAGCUAGUUGGUGAGGUAAUGGCUCACCAAGGCAUCGAUCAAUAGGGGGUCUGAGAGGAUGUCCCCCCACACUGGUACUGAGACACGGACCAGACUCCUACGGGAGGCAGCAGUAGGGAAUAUUGGACAAUGGGCGCAAGCCUGAUCCAGCCAUGCCGCGUGCAGGAUGAAGGCCCUAUGGGUCGUAAACUGCUUUUGUACGGGAAGAAACCUGAUUACGUGUAAUCAGCUGACGGUACCGUGAGAAUAAGGAUCGGCUAACUUCGUGCCAGCAGCCGCGGUAAUACGAAGGAUCCAAGCGUUGUCCGGAUUUACUGGGUUUAAAGGGAGCGUAGGCGGACUUUUAAGUCAGUGGUGAAAGCUUGCAGCUUAACUGUAAAAUUGCCAUUGAAACUGAAAGUCUCGAGUAUGGUUGAGGUGACUGGAAUAUAUCAUGUAGCGGUGAAAUGCUUAGAUAUGAUAUAGAACACCAAUUGCGAAGGCAGGCCACUAAACCAUAACUGACGCUGAGGCUCGAAAGCGUGGGGAUCAAACAGGAUUAGAUACCCUGGUAGUCCACGCCCUAAACGUUGAAUACUCGAUCUUAGCGAUAUACAGUUAGGAUCCAAGCGAAAGCGUUAAGUAUUCCACCUGGGAAGUACGAUCGCAAGA